GUGCUCAUUUCAACAGCAUGUUUACUAAAAUUGGAAUGAUGCAGAGAAGAUUAGCAUGGCUCCUGCAUAAGGAUGACACAUAAAUUUGUGAAGCAUUCCAUAUUAAA